rnacentral:rRNA from 1 species
UUGUGCUAUACGAGCGCCGAUGUCUGAUUAGCUAGUUGGUGAGGUAAAGGCUCACCAAGGCGACGAUCAGUAGCGGGUCUGAGAGGAUGAUCCGCCACACUGGGACUGAGACACGGCCCAGACUCCUACGGGAGGCAGCAGUGGGGAAUUUUGGACAAUGGGCGCAAGCCUGAUCCAGCCAUGCCGCGUGUCUGAAGAAGGCCUUCGGGUUGUAAAGGACUUUUGUCAGGGAGCAAAACUUACUGGUUAAUACCUGGUGAGGUUGAGAGUACCUGAAGAAUAAGCACCGGCUAACUACGUGCCAGCAGCCGCGGUAAUACGUAGGGUGCAAGCGUUAAUCGGAAUUACUGGGCGUAAAGCGUGCGCAGGCGGACUUUUAAGCCAGAUGUGAAAGCCCCGAGCUUAACUUGGGAAUUGCGUUUGGAACUGGGAGUCUAGAGUCUGUCAGAGGGGGAUGGAAUUCCACGUGUAGCAGUGAAAUGCGUAGAGAUGUGGAGGAACACCGAUGGC